CAGCCGUAAACUAUGCGCGUUAGGUGUACUGGUGACCACGAGUCACCGGGGUGCCGAAGGGAAACCGUGAAACGUGCCGCCUGGGAAGUACGGUCGCAAGGCUGAAACUUAAAAGAAUUGGCGGGGGAGCACCACAACGGGUGGAGCCUGCGGUUUAAUUGGACUCAACGCCGGAAAUCUCACCGGAUAGGACAGACAUAUGAUAGUCGGGCUGAAGACUCUACUUGAUGAUCUGAGAGGUGGUGCAUGGCGUCAGUGACU
rnacentral:rRNA from 1 species